GAUGAACGCUGGCGGCGUGCCUAAUACAUGCAAGUCGAGCGAAUGGAUUAAGAGCUUGCUCUUAUGAAGUUAGCGGCGGACGGGUGAGUAACACGUGAGUAACCUGCCCAUAAGACUGGGAUAACUCCGGGAAACCGGGGCUAAUACCGGAUAAUAUUUUGAACUGCAUGGUUCAAAAUUGAAAGGCGGCUUCGGCUGUCACUUAUGGAUGGACCCGCGUCGCAUUAGCUAGUUGGUGAGGUAACGGCUCACCAAGGCAACGAUGCGUAGCCGACCUGAGAGGGUGAUCGGCCACACUGGGUCUGAGACACGGCCCAGACUCCUACGGGAGGCAGCAGUAGGGAAUCUUCCGCAAUGGACGAAAGUCUGACGGAGCAACGCCGCGUGAGUGAUGAAGGCUUUCGGGUCGUAAAACUCUGUUGUUAGGGAAGAACAAGUGCUAGUUGAAUAAGCUGGCACCAUGACGGUACCUAACCAGAAAGCCACGGCUAACUACGUGCCAGCCGCCGCAGUAA
rnacentral:rRNA from 1 species